rnacentral:rRNA from 1 species
UGCCAGCAGCCGCGGUAAUACGGAGGGGGUUAGCGUUGUUCGGAAUUACUGGGCGUAAAGCGCUCGUAGGCGGAUUAGUAAGUUAGGGGUGAAAUCCCGGGGCUCAACCCCGGAACUGCCUCUAAUACUGCUAGUCUAGAGACCGAGAGAGGUGAGUGGAAUUUCCAGUGUAGAGGUGAAAUUCGUAGAUAUUGGGAAGGACACCAGUGGCGAAGGCGGCUAACUGGCUCGGUACUGACGCUGAGAUGCGAAAGCGUGGGGAGCAAACAGGAUUAGAUA